GUCGCUGGCCAGCCGCAACAAACAAGAAAUUCUAUACUUAUUUGAGUGACUUCCACCUAGCAUUGUGUUUGGCAAAUAGUUCAGUUGCCAUGUCUCAACACAUGUGAUAAAGAAGCAAGGCCAUCUGACCAACAUUGCUUGAAUAACUAAGUCUUCAACCUGAAAGCUCUCAGAAAAUGUAUUUGGGCUAACAGCCUGGGAAGUGACCUUCCUCAAGUUGUGUUAUCAGGUAUGCGGCAUGCAUCUGUAAUGAAUGACACAUAAAACAUGCCAGGGAUUUUAUGAUGAUGGAACAAAUGAGCAGAAAGGGAUGGAAAUUGGGAGGGCUAUCUUGCUGACCUCAAAGGAAGAGGAGUUGCUUAGUCCUGGGGUAGCUUGAGGUGCCAGGAUGGGUUGAUGCUCAGC